rnacentral:misc_RNA from 1 species
CACCAAUCAAGCCUGGCUUGGUGUUGGGCCACGGGGGCGACCCGGGCCUCAAAGUUGUCGGCUGGAAAGCUCUGAUCUCAGCGUCGUGGUUAAUCAAUUCGCCGACGAGAGGAGCGGUCCACGCCGGGAAAUCCAUCACA